rnacentral:rRNA from 1 species
GACGAACGCUGGCGGCGUGCCUGACACAUGCAAGUCGGACGGUUCUUGCACCUUCAAGCUUGCUUGCUGGUGCAAGGAUAGUGGCGGACGGGUGAGUAACGCGUGAACAUCUACCCAUUGGAGGGGGACAACCCGUCGAAAGGCGGGCUAAUACCGCGUAAGCCGCGAGGUGAGAGGCUGCCUAUUGGUGGCCGCCGAUGGAUGGGUUCGCGUCCUAUCAGCUGGUUGGUGGGGUAACGGCCUACCAAGGCGAAGACGGGUAGCCGGUCUGAGAGGAUGGCCGGCCACACUGGAACUGAGACACGGUCCAGACUCCUACGGGAGGCAGCAGUGGGGAAUAUUGGGCAAUGGGGGAGACCCUGACCCAGCGACGCCGCGUGAGGGAUGAAGGUUUUCGGAUCGUAAACCUCUGUUGUACGGGAAGAAGGAUGUGACGGUACCGUACGAGAAAGCCCCGGCAAACUACGUGCCAGCAGCCGCGGUAAAACGUGCGUG